ACAUUUGAGCUCCCUCCCUUCUGCUGCCCCACUGCCAGCCAUCAGCUCACUCUGCCCGCAGCUGCUUUUGGAAGGCAGCUGGUUCCUGGGGCCAUUGCCUGGUGGUCCCCAGCAGCCUGCCCAGGGAGGGCUCCCACCCACCUGAGAGUGCUUGGACACCCAGUGGCGGAGCACGUUCAAGACACGAUUGGUGGCUGCUCUGCGGAUCACAAACUCCUUGUCUCCAUUCCUCUGGUCUGGGGGAAACCCUGGCAGCAUGCGUGGCAGAGGGGAGAGAGGACAGGUGAGGACAAGAAACAGAGCUUGACACUAGUCUGGAUUUGCCUCUCGGAUCUGGCUGAGCUGGGGAAGCACUGUCCUUUGGUGACGGUGGGACCCUGUGCUUCCAGGAGCGGGGCUAAGAGGUGAGAGCACCCUCCACACCCCAGGAUCCUGGCAGGUGGAGAUGGAAGCAGCUGAGACUGAGCAGUAGCACCAGGCAGGGAGAGUGCCCCCACCUUGAGUCUACCUGCUCUUGAGGCCACAUGUUGGGGCAGGGCCUCAGCCCCAGGAGCCUGGCAGGUGGAAGGAGACUUUUCAGUUUUGGGUUGCUGGUGGCUGACCUGAGACGCUGACCGCUACAUCCAUCCACAGAGCUGCUGCGGGAAGGCCUGGAUGCAUCAUGUUAGGGGCUGGUGGGAGUACUCGGGACACGUGGGGCGUAUACCUUUGUCUUGCAAACCCAAAAUCAGGAUGCUCUUGACUCAGUCUGAGAGCAGGGAACUGUGCCAGAAACUCAGCACGUUUUGGGAGACAUAUGGAAGGAAUACCCCCCACUUCCCACCUAUCACCCCUGCACCUUUCUCCAGCUAGGCUAUCCGCUCCCCAUUCUCCCCAUAAGAGUGGCUGGCAGUGGGGAGCCUGCCACUCCCCUGGGUUUGGCCCUAUCACCUACAGAAUAAAGCCCCACUCCUUGCCGGUCGCGUUACCGUGAUCUGACCCUUGCCCACCGCCAGCCCCAUCUUUCACUAUGUCAUGUGGAUCGCUGUAUUAUUUAAGAAAGUCAAAUUGGGCCAUAAAAAUAAGAGAAUUAAAUAAGGAAGACAGAUGAAGCUAAGUACAGAAGAUUUAUACUAGACACAGUAUACCAAGGAGAGCACCUACAUGCUGAACAUAGGAAGGGACAGAGGGACCAAUGGCACUAAAUAGCCAAAUAUUGAUGCUAUGCUUAAUAUUCAUGAGGCAUAUGGAACAUUCAAUAUUUAUUAGGUCUUAAGUCAGCCACCCAUUGGCAAUGGCUAUUCUGACCCUCUGUGUCCCCUGCCCAAGAAAUGCAGAGAAAGGUGUAGCUGUUCUCCAGGUGAACUGACGGCUACAGCUGUGGCCAGGCACUCGUCCCUAUACCAGAGAGAGGGCAAUUCUGUGCCAUUGGCCCAAGUGCUUUCCAUUGCAUGGGCUCCUUGGUUCAAACUUCACUCCAUCAGCAGUGAAGGCUGAUGUGGCAGGGAGAGAGGUGGCACAAAGAAACACUGUGUCAGCAGGAUGCAGGCAGUGUGGUCCUCCCAUCUGCACACACACUAGCCUAACCAGCUAUCUCAUCGCCUUUCCCUGGUGUCUUGCUAUGUGUUUGUAAUUGAUACACUAUUAGCCAGGUGUGGUGGUGCACGCCUGUAGUCCCAGCUACUUGGGAGGCUGAGGUGGGAGGAACACUUGAGCCCAGGAAGUAGAGGCUGCAGUGAGCCGAGAUCACACGACUGCACUCCAGCCUGGGUGACAGAGCGAGACCCUGUCUCAAAGAAAAAAAAAAAAAAUUGAUACAUUAGAUGCCGUAAUGAAGCAUCUUAACUUAGCCUAUGAAUCUGUUCCAAAGCCUCUAGAAUAGUUUGUCUGGUAGUGUACCUGGAGGCCACAAUUGCAUCAAGGUCAUUGCCUGCAUGACAUCACUCUCCUCGACCCUGCACUCUCCCCAAACACCGUGCACUUUUUUGCCUCCGAACCUAUGUUCAUGCUGUUCCCUCUUCCCAGAAUGCCCUUCCCCCUCAGUCGUCUAGCAAACUCCAACUGGUCCUUCGAGGCCAGCUCUAAUGUCCCAUUCCAUAAGAAACCAUCCUCAACUGUGCCAGGUAGAUCUAUCACUCAUCUUCUGGACCUCGCCUGGAUUACACAGAUUCCAUUUUACAGCAUGCACUACACUGCUUUCUAAUAA